CUUUCACCUGCUAAAGUGCCAUAAGAAGGGAUGAGUGGAGAGACUGAGUAACAGAGCAGAGUUAAGGGUACUCACCCAAUAAGUGGGACACUGUAUUUUGUAGAAUAUUAGUGAGUCACAUUUAUUCAAAUCAGAUCAGUGUUGAGUCCAGUCAUGAUGGGAUCUCAGACUUAAUGAAAGUGCUUUUUUCCUUGGCCACCAGUUCGGGCAACUGAAUUUGAACCCUGCCGUUGAAUAUUCAUGAGAAAGAGCUGCGUCACCAUUGAGAACACCAACCUUCAACAAUACUUUUCACUUCAGGAGCAGGUAUCUGUGAAGACAGAACUUAUUCUACUGCACCAGAAAUGUUUAUCAAAACCCAGGUUGAUUGCCAAAAUAGUGAGACUGCAAACUGAAAAUCCUGAUCAUCCCUAACAGAGCUAACAUAUGAUACCCAUGUUCAACAUGAAUAUCACCUAGAUGCACUCGUUAUACCCUCAGGAGUAGGUGGUGUAAAAUACUGAACAAAAAGAUGGUCCUUGCCCCAAUGAGCUAACCAUUCAAGUAUAAGACAAGAUACAAUCGAUAGGGGAGUACAAGGAAACAAUGAGGCAUAUUGUUCUCGAGUUUCUCAAAAGUUUCUCCAGCAGCAGCAACUAUCUGUGAUCAUCAUGGUGGUAGUCUUGGGCAGACAGAAUGAAAUUUCAGCUGAAGAGAACUGCAAUAUUCUGACAGAAUAUGGUUUCAUCAACAUUUUCCCCAACCGGCUGUAGCUUUGGGACCUACUUCUCAUGUGCUGUGGUGGAUGUGAUCAAGCCAGUUCAUGUGCUGAGACGGUCUUUCCAACAUCUCUGGGGUUAAUUUUGCAUCAAAGUCAGAAGGGAAUUGCUGUCAUUUCCAGUACAGGGCAGGAAGGAAAAAACCAGCACAGAGCUGCUGUUAAUUCAGUGAAGAAACAUUGCUGGAAUACACAAAAUGGACAGGGCGUAGAAUCUGGUUGCAGAGGACAUUGGGUUAUUUGAGUGGAAGGUACUGGACAUGAAAGAGACUUAAGGCUGCAUUUGUUAUUCUUUUUAAAUCUUUAUGCCUAAAUUAAACAAACCCACUUAACGUACAGAUUGUAACUUCUGGGGGAAUUCUGCGCACAAGAUUUUAAAAUUUCGCAACGUUCUGCAUAUUUUAUUUGUCAA